GCGGUGUUUGGCACCUCGAUGUCGGCUCAUCACAUCCUGGGGCUGAAGUCGGUCCCAAGGGUAUGGCUGUUCGCCAUUUAAAGUGGUACGCGAGCUGGGUUUAGAACGUCGUGAGACAGUUCGGUCCCUAUCUGCCGUGGGCGUUGGAAGAUUGAAGGGGGCUGCUCCUAGUACGAGAGGACCGGAGUGGACGAACCUCUGGUGUUCGGGUUGUGUCGCCAGACGCAUUGCCCGGUAGCUAAGUUCGGAAUUGAUAAGCGCUGAAAGCAUCUAAGCGCGAAGCGAGCCCUGAGAUGAGUCUUCCCUGACAGUUUAACUGUCCUAAAGGGUUGUUCGAGACUAGAACGUUGAUAGGCAGGGUGUGUAAGCGUUGUGAGGCGUUGAGCUAACCUGUACUAAUUGCCCGUGAGGCUUAACCAUACAACACCCAAGGGGUUUUGUA
rnacentral:rRNA from 1 species